UAGCAAAUGAUGUCACAGAUAAAGAGAUGUAAGAAUACAGACAGCACAAAUCCUGGCACAUUAGAGGAGCUCAGCAAAGGCUUGCUGACUGACAAAAUGCCUACAUACAGAUAAUGUAUUUGGGGCAGGGGAGAUACCCAAUUUUCAGGACAGGAGCCCAAGUAGAUUCAAUAGGGCAAAGAAGUAAUGAGAGAUGAAGGCUCAUAGGCAACAGCUGCACCCAGCAGAGGGUCCAGGCUAGGGUCUGAACCUGGGAAUUUAAAGCCAGGGUGGGGAGUCAGCAGGGAAAGGAGCUUUCUCAUAGGCACCAGGAAGCCAGAAGCACACCUUCAAUCUCAGGAUCAGAGAAGGAGAAGGGCAAUCAGUGGUAGGGUAGAGAGCUCACCGCUGCUGUCUCAGAAUCCAGCACCGAUCCAGGCAUGCAACAGGCAUGCAGCAGAAGUUUGCUUAAUUAGUGAAUGAGUACAGAAUUGUGGGAUGAGAAGGUCAAGGUGAGGGGUUUAGGACUGUACCUGUGGAAGGACAGUGUGACUUGUGAGGUGGGCACAGAGGCUUAAAGGGGCAUGCUGGGUUGGACAUGCCCUCCCUUAAGACUUGGUGCCUCUGGGCAAACGUGAGUGAAUGUUGCUUCUACUUUCAUGCUAGGGCAUUGGUUCUUAACAGGAGCAAUUUUGCUAUCCAGGGGGGCACACAGCAAUGUUUGGAGACAUUUUGGACUGCCACAAUUUGGGGAAAGGGUUAUUGGCAUCUAAUGGGGCAGAGCCAGGGAUGCCACUAAACAUCCUACAAUGCAGCACAAGACAGACUCCACAACAAAGGGUUGUCUGGCUCCAAAUGUGAAGCAGCUGAAGUCUGAGAAGAAAAUGGCUGUCCAGGGUCACACGGCAAGUAUAGGCCUGGAAGCACAGAUCUCCGGACUGCCAGCCUAGUGCUUUUUCUAUGAGAAAGAGCCUCUGGUGAUAUAAGUUUCUAAAAGGCGCCUCCUGCAGUGAGAAGUGUGUGAUAGGCAUGAAUGACGUGAAAGCCUUUCAAAUGUCCAGGUAUCUAUGGGGCCUAAAAAGCAUCUCAAAACUGUCUUUUGGAACACUAUCUGUAAGAUGCUAACGGGUGCUCCAUAGAAAGCUGUCUGUGGUCAGAUGGGCCUGGAAAAUGCCUGGAUAACAAGGUGAGCACAUGGCUGUGGGACUGGCAUACGUGGACCAUGAUGAUAUGCACGGACCUCUAAGAGCAGACAUGGUGAGCGAAGGGUCUCAAACUUACCUGGAAACCUUUAUUCCUCAGGACAUCUGGGGAACUAGUUUUCAUAGAACUUUCAGAACCUCUGCUCAAAACUGGUUUUCACACUGUGCUCAACAGGAUCCCAGAGGCUACUGGAGGGGGUCUGAGGAGCUACAGAGGGCUCGGGCUAAGGUCCCCUUGUCCCUUGCAGAGCACAUCCCCUAAAAACUUGAAAAAGUACUGCUCUAGAACAUGCAAGGACAUGAGGCCUUUGAGUUGGCCUAAACCUUAUUGUUAAUCUUCAGACCAUAAUAUUGCCUCUGCUGUUCUGAGCCAAGCAGUGCAGAGGACAGUCACAAGAUGAGGUCUGAAUCCAGGUUCACUCCUCCCUUAACCUUGGGCAAGUUCCUUGACCUCCCCAGCCUCUGCUGCUCGGCUGUGCAAUGGCCAUGGUGCUCAUCUUGCAGAAUCCACAGGGGACACGGCUGGCACUCAGCAGAGGCUCAAGAAAUAACACCCCCUGUAUCCCAAACAUUACCUUGUUGCUUUUAUUUUUUAUUUUAUUUUAAAAUUCUCAGCUCACCAUCAGUGAAGCCAUUUGCACCCUACAGCUCUGUGUCACUCUGCUGUGCCUGUGGUAACUUACGUCUCUUCAUCCUGCCUUUGUCAUUCCUCCUUAAAACAGUUUUGGUCUAUUUUUCUCAUCACACAAGGGAUAUACAUUCCUUGUAGAAGAUUUAAAAAAAUUCAGACAAGAAAAAAAAAAAGAAGGAAAACAAAGCAAGACAAAAUCGCCCAUAAUUCCACCACUUGGAGCUAUCUUGUUAACACAAAAACAUAUUCCUUUUCAAUUUAAGCUCAUCUCAGAAAUGCCUGUGAAGCUUCCUGGGUUUAUUCUAUGCUGUGUUGUUAAACUUAUAUUUACCCAAAUCUCCCAUUCUUCUUCUUUACUUUUAUCUUUCCUACUUUUUGUUUCAAAAAUAAUUCUAGCAUAUUCACAUUUGAAUUCCAACAAUACAGAACAAGCUGAACACAAAUAUAAAUCCUCCUUCCCUCCUUCCACCUCACCCCUCCCACUCAUCUCCCAAGGAAACCACUGUUAAAUGUUGUAUUUACAGACAUUUUCCUAUUUAUUUUCAUAUUAUAGUCAGUCUUGAUGCUUAAAAACAUAAAAGAUGAUCUUAGAUCUACUGUUUUAUUUCCCAAGCCUCUUGAAUCAUCUUUUUAGUGUGUCUGGCCUUAAAACUAAACCUAGUAUUUUCCCUGAGAUAACUUUCUUCAAAGUCUAGGGCAUCGCUGCUCGACUUCAGGGUGUAUGAGGUGCUUGGAGAACUUGUUAAAAAGCAGAAUCUGAGUCAGUGGGGUCUGGAGUGGGGCUGAGAUUCUGCAUUUCUCAUCAGCUUAUGCUGUAGGUUCCCUGGAGCACUUUGAGGAGCAAGGCUCCAGGACACUCAUCCACCCAAGGCAGGCAUCCUUCUCCUUUGCUUAUAUAAACUCCACGAUGAGUGUUGUUCCUGUGUAUCUCAGGCACCUGCAUCACCAGCUAUCUUUGAUUGGCCAGACUUAAGCCCAAUGCACAAGUCUCCCUCAAGAUUUGGGAUAGCUGGUGGUAUGGGGAUCCCUGAAGUUCUGGAUUCCCAAAUAAAAGGGAACUCGGUGUUCAGGCAUCUUCUGCAUGGGGCAAACAUCCAGAGGAGCAGCAGACAUCAUGACCAGUGUACCACACUCCUGAGAGUGUGGCAUGGUACUGGACCAAAAGACAGCCAAGGGAGCAGUAGUGAGGGGCUUUAGCCCUAAGUGGGGAAAAAAGCCCAAAGAAGCACAGCAAGAUGCAGACACCCAAGUUUAGCCAAAGUGGUCAAGUACUUGUUGGCAACUGAGUUGAAGUUGUAGGUGGAGCCUGAGAAGUGGAGAUGGGUGAGUCAGAGAAAGAAUAUACACUCGGCCAGGCGCAGUGGCUCACGCCUGUAGUCCCAGCACUUUGGGAGGCCAAGGCAGGAGGAUCACAAGGUCAGGAGAUCAAGACCAUCCUGGCUAACGUGGUGAAACCCCGUCUCUACUAAAAAUACAAAAAAUUAGCUGGGCAUGGUGGCAGUCACCUGUAUUCCCAGCUACUCAGGAGGCUGAGGCAGGAGAAUGGCGUGAACCUGGAAGGCAGAGCUUGCAGUGAGCGGAGAUUGCAUUGUGCCACUGCACUCCAGCCUGGGCAACAGAACAAGACUCCAUCUCAAAAAAAAAAAAAAGAAAAAAAAGAAAAUACACUCAAGAUGUAUUCUGACAAAGGACAUCUGGGGUGAGGAUGAGUGCAGGUAGGAAAGGGGCGAUUGUAUUACAACAUCGUCCAGGACAGGAGGGACAGCGUGGAGUGGUGCUAUGCACAUGGGCCAGCUGCCUGCUCCUCUAACCUCAAAUGUGGUCCCUUUAGGAGGCUCUCUUGCUGUCAGCUGCUGCACCUAUGAGGCAGCCCUCAACUACAUGGCAAGUUUCAUCCAGCACAGUUCUUAAACCACAGCCCUUUGGCACUUCAUAGUGACCCUGGCCUUGGGUUGAGGUGCUGGGGGCAGAGCCUUAGGAGUUAAUCCGAUGGCCAGAUUUCUUAUGCAUCUGGAGGGUCUAAUGAGAAUCUCCUUCUACUGCUAUAUUCCGAGAAUGAAAGAGCCGGGAUUUCUGAUUGGUUAGUGAUCAAAUAAUGAGAGCCUAGAAAACAAAUUCCUUACAAUUUUCACAGUUAAGCACAUCAUAUUUCAUUUGGCUUCAUUUUUUUAAGCUGUUGGUUACUAGAGCUUAAGUCCAUACACUUUGGGAGAAAUCCUUCCCUAAUCAACCACCAUGUCUCAAAUUUUCUUUGCUGAUGUGUAAGAGACUUUUCUCCAUGAUUUGUCUAUUAAUACCUUUUCUCCCAAAUAACUGAAACCUGACCAAGAAAGCCAGUGGACACUUAUUUGCACAGUUUUCAUUCAAAUCCAUCAGGAUAUCCAUAGCAAAGAAUGUAACGGGCAAGGGAACUAAAUAUAUGUAUUUCUAAUAAACUUUCAUGAAUUUGACCUGCAUGAGAAUAAUCAUAAAGACUCCUUCCCUAAUCAAAUCAGAAUCAAGUACUAGAAAAUGAUUCCUAUUGUGGAACAGAGAGAAGGGCUUGCACUCAGAACCAAUGCUUGACAGUCAGCGUCUGCUCUAAGAUGCCUUCUUUUUAUGACACAUCUCCAGGGAAAGCAUAAUAGGGACAUUUGGCCAGACCAUCCUACCCAGAGGUCCUGCAAAGUCAAAGCUGGACAAAGGAAGCCGGAGACAACCAUAGCCUGAGACAUCUGUUUUGUUCAUCAUUGGAUUCCCAAUAUCCAGCAUAGGGCCUGCCUAGAGUAGGUACUGUACACAUUUCCCUUGCCUGGGUGAAUGAAUGGAUACAUGGAUGAGAGAACAAUCACCUCUAAAUCAAUAUCUCCAGGACCUCUUAUUCAGCUCCAGGUGUCUGGUAAUCAUGUCUACUUAGAUGCCUCCCAGGUGCUUCAAACUCAUCACAUCUGAAAUUGUAACUCAUCAAGUGCCACCUGCUGUCCCUGCAAACUCCUCCUUUGGGACUCUGGAAUUUCAAUGCCAUCUUUAACUGUCUGUACUUCUCCUUCUUACCUUCUUCAUCUACCAAACUCCCAGUACAAAUGUUACCUUUUCCCCAAUGCCUUCCUUGGCCACAUCUUGCCUGCCCCUCUUCACUGGCCUUCUUUCUUAUUUAAAAAUAGAUUUGAGUUUGAGGUGAUGACUUUGACUUUUUGUGAACAGGGAAGGGAGGCUGAGCAACACACAGGCAGUUGAGCUCUCUCUGAAGGGCAGAAACUCCUUUUUUUUCUCUUCCAUUUCAUCUCUCUCUGUUGCUUUUCUAGCUGCAAUAGGACAGAACCCUAUUUGGGGGAAACAGAGAAAGCCAAGACCUCUGGGCACUAACUGCAGAAGUUCAAAUCCUGGCUUAGGAAAAAACCAUCUUAAAACUAUGCAAGAGUUUAACUUGGCAGGUAGGUUGCAAGAAGCCUAGCCUCAUAGAAGAGAAAGAGCCAGGGAAGGGAAAAAGCUUUCAUACUGAUGGUUCUGCUUUCAGGUGUCACAAUGGAAAAGUAAAGUUUGAAACUUCUGAUGAAGUCCACUGACUGCCCAAAGACCACCAGGAUUACAUCUAGAGUGAUAAAUAAAUGUAUUUAGCAUGCUGAAGCAAGGGAGAAUGUACCCCAGGGGGGCCUCAGGCACUUGGUGGCGGUAGGGUCUUGUGUUGGAGCAUUCUAAAGAGAAUGCGGAAAGUUCUCUUGGAACUUGGGGCCCCAUUCUUCCGGCUUAAAUAGCUGUUACCUGCUUUUUAAGCCCUGUCCCCUUUGCCCAAUUUUCUAGCUAGGUGAAGAAACAACCCUUAAGCCCUAUCCAGAGCAAAAAUGAUUUUGUGAUUUGCAGCAUCUGUGCCUGGUGCUCUGCUGAGUCAUGCCCACUUGCCUCACAGCCUCAAAGGGUUUUUGGUGUUGUGGUGAUGGCAAAGUGAAUGCCACCGACAGAGGACAAAUCCCAGCCCCACACUUGCUGUACAUCAGCACAGCUGUCAGCCUGGCUCACAUUUCAGAAUCUUUCAGGAAGCUGUGAGACGCAGAAAGAAGCCAGUUUUAGGCUCUGUGGGCAAGAAGAUACCUUUUGACUUAUAAACUGCAGAUCCUCAGAUGUGGAUGUUGUCAUAGGAGUGAGUGUGUUGGUCCUGCACAUGGUCCCCAGUAGAACUCCUCUACAGAAAAGAACCCUUUUAUCAGCAGAUGGGCAGGAACCCCUCAGAGGGAGAGGUAGACACUCAAGCUUUCACUUAAGACAUCUAUAAUAAGGGGAGGGAGAGCAUUAGGACAAAUAUCUAAUACACGUGGGGCUUAAAACCUAGAUGACGGGUUGAAAGGUGCAGCAAAUCACCAUGGCACGUGUAUACCUAUGUAACAAACCUGCAUGUUCAGCACAUGUAUCUCAGAACUUAAAGUAAAAUAAAAUAAAACAACAAACAAACAAAAUACCUCCUAUAAACUGUGAAACAAUGAAAUGAGAUGGAAAUGUAUCUAAAGCAUUCAACACAGUGUCAGACAUGUACUCAGUGCUUGCUAAUGCUAGCUUAUAUUAUUCUGAUGAUCAUAUUAGCAAAUGAAAAUUCACCUAUUCACUGAAUCUUUUGGGGACCACUACUAUAUUCUUGGCUAAAUAAAAGAGGCAAAAUGAUUAAAAAAAAAAAGACUUCUAUAAAAAGCCACCAGCCAGCUAGAGCAACCAGAACAGAACCUCUUCGUGUCUCUAUUCUCUUUUUUCUCCCUCCUAACCCUGGAAGUCUUUCCUGAGGACUGAGUGCAGACCCGGUGCAAGGAUGUUGGGAAGUAACUUUGUCUCUGAGCUUCAGUUUCUUUUUUUGUAACAUGGGAGUCAUAACAUUGACCUAAAAGAGUUGUGUGCAAUUGAAGAGACAAAGAAUGUAAAACAUAGUCUGUGAACCUACAAAAGGUGCUCGCUCAGCUCAGUUUCAACCACUAUUCCCCUCUCCUUCUUCCUCACUGACUGCCUUUGUCCAGCCUCCAGGAGCAGCCAGCCUCCAGGAGCAGCCAGCCUCCGGCCUCCUGCCUCCUUUCUGUGCCAGCCCAGCAACCUGAGUCACACUCUGGAUUCAGUCCCAGUCUGCUUGGCUGAAGUCUGGUGUUUGCUGCACUUACUAUUCCAGGCACCCUGUGAUUUACUUUUCUAGUGAGUUAAUUGCAAAAUCCAUAUGGAGUGGAGAGAAAACAUCAACCCAAGCUUGCCAUGAAAAGCAGGGGAACAGAGGAAGUUUUCCAUCUUGGCCAGCACAGCCUGGAGAGAAGGCAAAGAGGGAGGAUGAUGCUGCUGCCCCACUUGCCAAGCUCAAGGCAAGUCACAUGGUGUUCAGGCCUCUUUACUCCCCCUUUGUUUAUUCUCUCAUCUAAUUAGACAAAAAUUUAAGUUUUAGAAACCCACUGUGGGUAUAAACUAUAGGUGAUCAAAUCUCAAUGUGCAUAAGAAGCACCUGGGAAGUUUAUUUAAAAUGCAGAUUCCCAAGCUUCUCCUUCCAGAGUUUCAUCCAAGAAGUCUAGGCACAACCCCAGAACUUGCAUCCUGCUUGUGCCCAAUGCAGGUAAUCCACAGACCAAGGGUUAAGAAAUGAAAAUACAAAGGGAAGGGCAGUGCAGUAACUCGGGAGUUAGAAGAAUUUAAGAUUGGUUCUUGGACAAGUCAUUUGCCAUUCUCCUCUUUUUUUUUUUUUGAGACAGAGUCUCACUCUGUCACCUUGGCUGGCGUGCAGUGGCACAAUCUUAGCUCAAUGCAACCUCCGCCUCUCGGGUUCAAGUGAUUCUCCUGCCUCAGCCUCCCGAGUAGCUGGGACUACAGGCAUCUGCCACUGCACCUGGCUAAUUUUUGUAUUUUUAGUAGAGAUGGGGUUUCACUAUGUUGGCCAGGCUGGUCUCGAACUCCUGACCUCAGAUGAUCCGCCAGCCUCAGCCUUCCAAAGUGCUGGGAUUACAGGCAUGAGCCAUCAUGCCCGGCCUCAUUUGUCUCUUGAAGCCCCAGAUUUCUUAUCUCUAUAGCAGGAAUGAGAAUACCUACCUCACAGGACCAUUGAGAGAAUAACAGAUAUUGAAAUCCCUUAACACAACUCUUGGCACAUUGGAGGCAUUAAAAAAAAAAAAUCGAAGAAACAAUUUACUUUUCUUUCCUGGAGAAGAUUCUUUUCAAAACUGGCCCAAGGCAUCUUUGCUCAUGAAUGUGAAUACAUUUUUGUAUCUGUUUACAAUUUACAACAUCCAAAGAGUGGCCUUUGGGGAAGCAGGCUCUUGUUUUGAAAUCACUUUGAAGAUGAAAAGGUGUCAAAUCCUCCAGUCUUGGUUGGUGGAAGUUAAAACAAAUAUUUAAUUUGGUGAGUUAUAAUUUAUUAAAGCCUUUUGGAAAAUGAAAGUACUAUUUAUGUUGUCACAAGGGACCCAACAGUUUUGAAUAGUUUGUAGUUAAUUCACUCAUUUUGUUUAAGAAACAUUUACUGAACACCUGGGUGCCAGCCCUCGCAGGGCUCAGGGUCUGAACAAUGAUAGUAACUUGGUUCUGACCACAACGGGGGCUAUAGAAGCCCAGGGAGCAGUGACUUCCCUUAGCCGGAGGGUCUGGGCCUUAGGAAGGUGAUCAGCAGGAAAUGACUCCAUUUUGAAAGCACCCAGAUUUAUACACAAUAGACCUGGUACCAAUAGAUGGGUAACUUAAAAUCCCUGGAGGAAAAAACUACUUUCCCCAGAGGUUACCCCUACACCUUUAAUUUCUUAGACACUUGGGAAGGGUAGGCUGACUCUCUUCUAAGCUUUCAGGCCCUAAUAUCCAAGUGCUUUAAGACACCUGGAUUUAGAGGUUCCACAGGUAUACAGACUCAACAAUGUCUAGCACUCAGCUUAUUACUUCUCUCUACAAUCAUGCUCCAGCAUUUCCUUGCUGCAUCCACACAGUUACCCUGCUAUGGUCUGAAUGUUUGUGUCCCCCACAAAUUCAUAUGCAAAUACCUAAACCCCAAAUGUGAUGGUAUUAAGGAGGUGGGGCCUUUGGGAGAUGAUUAGGCCAAGAGGGCUCUUCCCUUAUGAAUGGGAUUAGUGACCUUAUAAAAGAGGCUUAAGGGAGCUUGUUUGCUCCUUCUACCACGGGAGGACACAGAAGGCACCAUCUGUGAAGCAGAGUGCAAGCCCUCACCAGAAACUGAAUCUGUUGGUGCCUUGAUCUUGGACUUCCCAGCCUCCAGAACUGUGAGCAAUAAAUUUC